rnacentral:rRNA from 1 species
GACGAACGCUGGCGGCGUGCUUAACACAUGCAAGUCGAACGGAAAGGCCCUGCUUUUGUGGGGUGCUCGAGUGGCGAACGGGUGAGUAACACGUGAGUAACCUGCCCUUGACUUUGGGAUAACUUCAGGAAACUGGGUCUAAUACCGGAUAGGAGCUCCUGCUGCAUGGUGGGGGUUGGAAAGUUUCGGCGGUUGGGGAUGGACUCGCGGCUUAUCAGCUUGUUGGUGGGGUAGUGGCUUACCAAGGCUUUGACGGGUAGCCGGCCUGAGAGGGUGACCGGCCACAUUGGGACUGAGAUACGGCCCAGACUCCUACGGGAGGCAGCAGUGGGGAAUAUUGCACAAUGGGCGGAAGCCUGAUGCAGCAACGCCGCGUGCGGGAUGACGGCCUUCGGGUUGUAAACCGCUUUCGCCUGUGACGAAGCGUGAGUGACGGUAAUGGGUAAAGAAGCACCGGCUAACUACGUG